rnacentral:ncRNA from 2 species
UAUAUGUAACAAGGGUGCUUUAAUAUUUUUAUUAAGGCUGAGAAUAUACCUUAAAGCAGAUCGAGAUAAUGCUCGCGUUGCAAGUUAUUUUUAUAUAUUC